AUGUGUGAGAGAUAAAACGCAGCUCUCUCAGAAAGGUAAUGCAGGGAAAUCCAUCGGUGCCGCUUGGAGCAAGCAAUCGGAAUAGCGUACCUCCACCAACUCCAAAUGUCAGAUCGUAAUCUUCACGAACAAGGAUUGAGCACCGGGAGCAUGGUCCUGGACAGUGAUAUGCAGGAACAGAGAAGCUGAAUGUGUGUGGUUGUGGAGGUUUGCAUCUUGCUGAAAGCCCUUGGUUCCAAGAAGGAACAAUUUGAUCAAGCAUGCAAAAAUUAUUUCAUUACUUGUACGAUAAACACUAGAAGUGAAUCUUCAGAGAAGAUGAUGAGCUCCUUGUUUCAGUGAUGUUUUAAUCAGUUGUAGUCAUCAAUUCAGUAUUGAUACUGCUCAAAUAUCCAGGUCCAGCCAGCACAUUAUGAACCCAGUUAUUUUCUGAUGGAAUAAGAAGCCUGUGUCACGGAGGGAAUAUAAUUAUUGUGUAAUUGACUGGUGAAGUAGCUACUUACCAAGUGGAACACUCUACUAAAGUGCAAGCCCAUGAGGGUAUCACAUGGACAGAUGGCGACACUGGAAUGACACCUUCUAAGAUGAACUUAAUCAUAUUCUCUGGAGUUGGGACCAGUGAACUAUUAAUCUGGAUCCUAGAUGGACCACCAUUCAACCGUUCCAAAUCUUGAUGCUGGUUAACCUAAGGGCUGCCUUCAUGGAGGGAUCAUUGACUCUAUCUGCUCCACAAAGAGACGAUAACUGGUCCACUUGCCCAUCAUAGCCGGUAGGUGGGUCCUCUGGUGUCCUCACCCACUGUCGAUCUCCACCUCAGAUUCUCUGCCACCGUGGUUCGACAUUAAAGAAUUGCUUCCAUUCACGUGUCGUUUGCCACUGGGGACCACUUCACUCUCAAGAUGUGGCGACUUCGAGAGUUAUCCUGUCUUUCUCUCAGUUUCUUCAUUGAUUGCAGCCCCAAAAUUGUCUUACUCUGAAAUCAACACUCAAAAGCUCAUGAUGGUGUGGGGUUUUAUGGUCACUUUCAUCCUGCUAAGAUGGUACUCACUGAAAUGCGACAGAAGAAAGGUUAAUUUCAAGUUCAGGAAGACAUAUAUUAUUUUUCGGCAUUGUCAUCGAUCAUAUCAGUGAGAAGGUUUUUGGCUCUUUGAGAAUAACAGUGAUCCCCCACCAAGGGGAUUUACCCAGGUAACAGGGCAUGGACAAAUGCAACAAGGUCGGGGCCCUGGUUGGAGAUGCAAGAAGGCAAUAUGCAGAGUCCUUGAGAUGCAUGUGAUAGUGCAGUAACGGGGUGUGCAACUGAAGACUUCUCAGAGGUAUCUCAGAAUCAGAGGUCUAGGCAUGGGUGAAAAGAGUAUCAUUCCAGUAGAGAAAAGAGAGAGGGGCAAAUGGUCCAAUGCAGUUGCAUGAUGCCUUGGUGCUGGAAGCACUGCUGAAUUCCGAAUCUGGCACAGAGUUGUAUGCUUUUGAUCCCCCACACCAGGAUUGGGAUGAAAUAGCACUUCAGGAUUCUCUUCACAUGCAUUCGAUCAAUGAGAAAAGGUGACUGGAGUGACUAGUGCUGGAGAACAUGGGAGUCCCAUCUUACUCAAAAGGACCCUCUCAUUGCUCUUCUUCCUCUUAUGUAACUAAGAAAGGAUGGUUUAGAGAGUUGGGAGCCAAGUGAAACAUCAACCUUGAGGGAAUCUUAGGAGCUAAUGAUUUGGUGGGCCUCUGACAUGUGGCUUGGUGCUUCUAUUCUGAGUGGGGGGAGGGGAGAGCUGCAAGUUGGCCACAGCUGACUCCCUGCAAUAAAGUCCUGAGCUUUAUUUCUUUUUCAGAAAUUAAUCAUUCAACUUGCAGUAUUUCUUUACUGCACUGGCAUGCCUUCCUUGCAUUUAAUUCCAGUAAUAUCAUUGAUGCUGUACAGCUGCAGCAUAGAUUUCACUCCAAUCCUUUGAGGAUCCUGCAGGAUCUUAUCAGCCUUUCCAGUAGUACCAUGGCAGAAGCAAUGCAGUGGCUGCUGUAGUCUGAAGACAAGCAAAGUACAUGGCUAAA